rnacentral:rRNA from 1 species
AGAGUUUGAUCCUGGCUCAGAUUGAACGCUGGCGGCAGGCCUAACACAUGCAAGUCGAGCGGUAGAGAGGUGCUUGCACCUCUUGAGAGCGGCGGACGGGUGAGUAAAGCCUAAGAAUCUGCCUGGUAGUGGGGGAUAACGCUCGGAAACGGACGCUAAUACCGCAUACGUCCUACGGGAGAAAGCAGGGGACCUUCGGGCCUUGCGCUAUCAGAUGAGCCUAGGUCGGAUUAGCUAGUUGGUGAGGUAAUGGCUCACCAAGGCGACGAUCCGUAACUGGUCUGAGAGGAUGAUCAGUCACACUGGAACUGAGACACGGUCCAGACUCCUACGGGAGGCAGCAGUGGGGAAUAUUGGACAAUGGGCGAAAGCCUGAUCCAGCCAUGCCGCGUGUGUGAAGAAGGUCUUCGGAUUGUAAAGCACUUUAAGUUGGGAGGAAGGGCAUUAACCUAAUACGUUAGUGUUUUGACGUUACCGACAGAAUAAGCACCGGCUAACUCUGUGCCAGCAGCCGCGGUAAUACAGAGGGUGCAAGCGUUAAUCGGAAUUACUGGGCGUAAAGCGCGCGUAGGUGGUUCGUUAAGUUGGAUGUGAAAUCCCCGGGCUCAACCUGGGA